rnacentral:rRNA from 1 species
CUUGAUUAAACCAUAAGAGGUCCAGCCUGCCCAGUGACAUUGUUCAACGGCCGCGGUAUCCUAACCGUGCGAAGGUAGCGUAAUCACUUGUCCUUUAAAUGAAGACUAGUAUGAAUGGCCCCACGAAAGCUAUACUGUCUCCUUUUUCUAAUCAGUUAAACUAAUCUCCCCGUGAAGAAGCGGGAAUAAACAUAUAAGACGAGAAGACCCUAUGGAGCUUCAAACAACUGAAACAUUUGUAUAUCCUCCCCUCACCUGCCAACAUUUAACCUCACAUUUUGUUUCUAGUUUUAGGUUGGGGUGACCACGGAGAAAAAACUAACCUCCACGACGAAAGAGACAUCUCUAAACAAAAAGCUACAUCUUUAUGUAUUAACACAUUAACCUUUAUUGACCCAAUAAAUUGAUCAACGAAC